rnacentral:rRNA from 1 species
GACGAACGCUGGCGGCGCGCCUAACACAUGCAAGUGGAGCGACGAACCAGGGCUUGCCCUGGAGCAAAGCCGCGAACGGGUGAGUAACACGUGGGUAACCUGCCCCGAUGAUUGGGACAACCCGAGGAAACUCGGGCUAAUACCGAAUGUGCCCUGCCGGCCCAAGCCGGCGUGGGGAAAGGAAGCUUCGGCCUCCGCAUCGGGAGGGGCCCGCGGCCCAUUAGCUAGUUGGUGAGGUAAAGGCUCACCAAGGCAACGAUGGGUAGCUGGUCUGAGAGGACGAUCAGCCACACUGGGACUGAGACACGGCCCAGACUCCUACGGGAGGCAGCAGUGGGGAAUCUUGCGCAAUGCGCGAAAGCGUGACGCAGCAACGCCGCGUGGGGGAAGAAGGCCUUCGGGUUGUAAACCCCUCUCAGGAGGGACGAAGGUGCGGCGGCGAAUAGCCGACCGCACUGACGGUACCUCCAGAAGAAGCCCCGGCUAACUACGUGCCAGCAGCCGCAGUAA